GCGGGUGGCUAUGGACGUGAACUGCCCUGCGGAGGCAGAGGUCGUGGGUUCGAAUCCCGCCAAGCGCAUCA
rnacentral:tRNA from 1 species